UAGGGAAUCUUCGGCAAUGGGGGGAACCCUGACCGAGCAACGCCGCGCGUGUGAAGAAGGUUUUCGGAUCGUAAAGCUCUGUUGUUAAGGAAGAACGAGUGUGAGAAUGGAAAGUUCAUGCUGUGACGGUACUUAACCAGAAAGGGACGGCUAACUACGUGCCAGCAGCCGCGGUAAUACGUAGGUCCCGAGCGUUGUCCGGAUUUAUUGGGCGUAAAGCGAGCGCAGGCGGUUAGAAAAGUCUGAAGUGAAAGGCAGUGGCUCAACCAUUGUAGGCUUUGGAAACUGGUUAACUUGAGUGCAGAAGGGGAGAGUGGAAUUCCAUGUGGGGCGGUGAAAUGCGUAGAUAUAUGGAGGAACACCGGUGGCGAAAGCGGCUCUCUGGUCUGUAACUGACGCUGGGGCUCGAAAGCGUGGGGGGCGAACAGG
rnacentral:rRNA from 1 species